rnacentral:sRNA from 1 species
GGGGAAGGGGCAGCUGUGAGACAUUGUCAGACUGUCUACAGCUCCAGGUUCUCAUCAUGGUCUUUUAACAAAGAGCCUUACCAACUGACCCAUCUUCCUAGCCCAAAGUGUAUCUUCUUUUAAAUAAGCAAACAAUUGGAUGGCACAGUACCAAAGCUUGGGCUGAGAAUCAAAUAUUCUCUAUUGCAUCAAAGCCAGUGGCCAUACCUCCCAUCCAAGAAGGCACAGUGCACAUGAAGUCUCAGUGGAAUGGGAAGGAUGAAGGUGUAGAAGGGACAUGAGACUGAGAAAAUGUGGAGACUGCCUUCCCCAAUCUUAGAGAAAACCUGGGGAAGUCAGAGAAGAUGGGACAGGAAAUCACACUUACAGGAAGCAGAGAUGUGUUUGAAGUAAGCACUAUUGAAAUCCAAGGCCCCUAAGGAAGACUGGUGUGAUGUCCUGAGUAACACCCCAGGAAAUGGGGAGAGAAGAAUGGUAGCUAGCAGAAGAAAACAAGGUAAAGCAAGGAAAGACCACGCGAGGGGCAUGAGGCUGGGUGCCAAGAGGCAGCAGAAGAUGCCAGGACAGAAAACCUUACAGUCUGUGCCUGAGGUGGCCGUGCCGAGGCCAGAUGUGAAGCAAAAGGAAUCAUCUGGUGGGCAAUGGUUCAGGAAAGUCUUAGAUUUACCCUUUUCCUUCUGAAAUUUUAAUAAAUUUAGUCUUUGAAUUGAGUGGACAAAGCAUAGAUAAACAGGACAAAAACUUAACAGUUGUCAACAUGUCUAAGUAUGGGAGUCACAGAAAAAGUGUGUGACCCAAAGGAGACAGUAGCUGGUCAUUAAAGAGAGAUAAACAAAGGGACAUUGUUGGGGCUGCUGGGAGUAGGACAUAUGCUAUGAGAGGUGGACAGCCUCUAGGGUUGUCUUGUGAGGAAGAUAAGUCCCCCAGCCAGCCACAUGUGGUCAUCUCUAACUGGGCCAGGUGUUGGAUCUCCACUCUUCUUACUGUUGGAAAAAAAUCUUUGCUAUGAUAAGAAGCUGUGAUUGCCCUAGAGGUGUUUAGAGUUCCUUUUACAAAAGGAUAGCUCUUCAGAGUUCUUCCUGCAUCUGCCGAGAGAUCUGGUAUUACAAUAGGCAUUUGGAAACACGUCAAACAAACAUGUUUCCAGUAAACAUGACAACAUAGUCUGGUCCUUCUCAGUGUCUGGACCCUCUGAAAGGAAGCACACUAUCGCCCAAACAGGGAGCAUCACCUCCCAGGAGCCUUGUGGAGCAGAGGGUCCAGGUUGUAUGCUCACCUCAUCUGACUAGAAGUAGGGAGAGGAGGAACCUGGCUCUCUGCUGUGGGGAAACAAUGAAUAUUGUUGACUCCAAACUGGAAUAUUCUUAGGCUGUGCUUAGAGCCUGCUUCUAUAGACAGGAGGUCUCAUGAACUGGUGUAAUUUUUUACAGACACACAUUAUGUUUACCAACAAAUUUUAAUGAUACUCUCUACCCACUCUUUUUUUUUAAAUUUUAAAUGUAUUUGUAUGAGCAUAUGCCACGUGUAUGAAGGUACCCAUAGACUCUAAAAGAGCUCAAUCCCCUGGAGCUGGAGUUUAAGAUGGUUGUGAGUCAAGUCACCCAACCACCUAUUCUGAUAUUCAGUCAUGGAUCCCGUUGGCCAGUGGUAGCCGGUAGUUUUUUUUUUUAAUCAAAUUAAUUUAUUUUUAUGUAUAUGGGUGAUUUGCCUGCAUGUACGUUUAUGUCUGAGUACCGCAUUUAUUCCUGGUGGCCAUGGAAGCCAAAAGACGGCAUCAGAGCCACUGAAAUUAUAGUUACAGACAGUUAUGAGUUGUCAUAUGGGUGACAGGAACUGAACUUAGGUCCUGUGCAAGGUUAGCAGGCACUUUUAACCCCUGAGCUUCUGUCUAGUCCCUAGCUGGGUUUUAGGAUGACUAAAUUCCCGAUGUUAUCAUCCCAAUCUACCUGGAAGGGAGCUGACAAGUGUCUAGAAUAGCAUGUGGGACCCAAAUAGUUUGGCCUUCAUUAGUUUUCAGAAAAAAAUAUAAAAUAAAAAAACUUAUCUUAAAAAAAUGAAACUGAGCAUGCAAAUUACCAAUGUACUUGUGAUGGAAAGAACAAGAAAAGCCACCAGUGUGCCACGCUUCUGAUUCAUUGUCA